UGGUGAAGCGGGUGCCGGAGCAUGUGCAGGUGGACGACCCAGCAGCACAGAGGAGACUGGCGAAGAAGCUGGAACGGCAGCAGGUUCCUCUGAGGCAAGACUAUGGCGCCAAAGUCAACCUCUUCUCCCACUUGCACCAGUACAGCCGGAAGGUGCCGCUGACCCAGCAGAUGAGCAUCCCCGCCACGGCGAUCCAUCCGGCUGUGGUGCGGCUCGGCCUGCAGUACUCCCAGGGGCUGCUGAACGGCUCCAACGCACGCUGCCUCGCCCUGCUGCAAGUCUUCAGACAGGUGAUCCGGGAUUACUCAACGCCGCCCAACGAGGAGCUCUCGCGAGACCUGGUGGCCAGGCUGAAGCCCUAUAUCAGGUGAGGCCGAGAGAGACGG